GUGCUCACUUUGGCAGCACAUGUACUUAUAUUGGAACAACACAGAGAAGAAUAGCACAACCCCUGCACAAUAAUGGCAUGCAAAUUCAUGAAUCAUUCCAUAUUUUU